rnacentral:rRNA from 1 species
GUGCCAGCCGCCGCGGUAAUACGUAGGGUGCAAGCGUUGUCCGGAAUUAUUGGGCGUAAAGAGCUCGUAGGCGGCUUGUCGCGUCUGCUGUGAAAUCCCGAGGCUUAACCUCGGGCCUGCAGUGGGUACGGGCAAGCUAGAGUGCGGUAGGGGAGAUUGGAAUUCCUGGUGUAGCGGUGGAAUGCGCAGAUAUCAGGAGGAACACCGAUGGCGAAGGCAGAUCUCUGGGCCGUAACUGACGCUGAGGAGCGAAAGCAUGGGGAGCGAACAGGAUUAGAUACCCCGGUAGUCC